rnacentral:rRNA from 1 species
UGGGGAAUUUUGGACAAUGGGCGAAAGCCUGAUCCAGCAAUGCCGCGUGUGUGAAGAAGGCCUUCGGGUUGUAAAGCACUUUUGUCCGGAAAGAAAUCCUUGGCUCUAAUACAGUCGGGGGAUGACGGUACCGGAAGAAUAAGCACCGGCUAACUACGUGCCAGCAGCCGCGGUAAUACGUAGGGUGCAAGCGUUAAUCGGAAUUACUGGGCGUAAAGCGUGCGCAGGCGGUUUGCUAAGACCGAUGUGAAAUCCCCGGGCUCAACCUGGGAACUGCAUUGGUGACUGGCAGGCUAGAGUAUGGCAGAGGGGGGUAGAAUUCCACGUGUAGCAGUGAAAUGCGUAGAGAUGUGAGGAAUACCGAUGGCGAAGGCAGCCCCCUGGGCCAAUACUGACGCUCAUGCACGAAAGCGUGGGGAGCAAACAGGAUUAGAUACCCUGGUAGUCCACGCCCUAAACGAUGUCAACUAGUUGUUGGGGAUUCGUUUCCUUAGUAACGUAGCUAACGCGUGAAGUUGACCGCCUGGGGAGUACGGUCGCAAGAUU